CUCAGAGCCACCGGGUUUGCGCUCCGCAGCUGGGCAACUUGAAGAGUUAUGAACGCCGGGGUGCAGGCCUCUGGGAGGGGCAGCGAAGUGCGCUGAGCGUCCCCGGUGCUGGGCGACCGCCUCCUGCUCUGCGCCCCCCACCUCCAGCCGCGAGUCAGCCUCACGCGGGCCCGCGGCGCGCUGCGAUGAUGGAUCGCGCCUGGCGGGGGUGAUUUGGUGUUGAUCGCACAUUAUCACUGGCAGGUUGGACUGGUUGCUGAUGGACGACUUCUAGCGGCGGCGCGGCACCGUCUUCAGACACCGCGCAGGGAUUCGCUCGCUCGGCGAGGGUCUCCCCCCGCAACCACUCUCCACCCCGCUUCCCGGAGUUUGGAGGGCCUGGGAGAAGGAGUGGGGGUCUCCCUUGCGCCCAAGGCCGCGCCGGAGCGGGUUCUGAUGUGCGCCGCAGGCGGCGCCGGGCGAGGAGGGGAACCAGGACGCCUCUCCCACUUCCUAGCGUUUCUCCUGCUUUUGCUGCCUGCUCUCCCUACCCCUCGCCUGCUUCCCCAUCGAAACCUGAACGGUCAUGGUCACUCCACCGGUGAUUUUCCCACCGCCCGGCCAUGGCCGCGGGGCUGCAGACCCCUCCCCCGAGGCCCGCGACCCUUUCCCCGGGCCCGCAGCAGCCGCGGCGCUGCGGUGCGCCCCUCCUCGCUUCUUUCUCUAAAGUGCCUGCAGAUACAAAAGCGGUUUCGUAAUGCCUUCCGUCUGCGAGAGCCGGAGGACCUUGGCUGACCUUUCAGAAACUGAUUGCAACUGCCUGUUAACAGCCCGUACUGACCGCACUGAGCGGAGCGGAGGACAAUCAUUUAAGUGACAGACGGCGAGGUGGCCCCGGCUCAGUCGAGCGGCCUGCGUGACCCGGGCUGCGUUCCUGCUGCUGCCGGGGAAAGAUCUCCACCCUCGGCUCUUCUGCCACGGCCCUGUGCCCCCCUCCCUUCCCAGCACAGACAGGCACAGACUCAAGGAACAGCACGGGGACAGCAAAAGGGAUCCAAAGGCUCGGAGAGACUCGCGCCAGCGAACGCUCGGCGGCGCCCCUCCCCCGCUCGCCCGCCGCCUCCCUUUGUUGAUUCUCAGCUGCGAGCACGGCAGGGCCAGAGCUGCCGCCGCCGCC